ACUUCUAUUAGAUUUUUUUAAUAGUAAAAUCUGCUCAAUGAAUCUUAAAUAGCCGCAAUUUGUGCUAAGGUAGCAUAAUCAUUCGUCUCCUAAUUAGAGACUAGAACAAAAGAUUUAAUAUUUCAAUUCCUUUUUAUAUCUUAAUUUUUCAAAUUACUUUAAAUGUUAAAAAGCAUUUAUUCAAAAAAAAGACGAUAAGACCCUAUUGAACUUAACUUUAGUUAAACUGGGGUAGUUAAUUAAUUAUUAUUUUAAUUUUUUUAAAAUUAUAAAAAUCCAAAACAAUGAUAAACAAGUUACCAUAGGGAUAACAGCGCAAUUAUUUUUUAUAGAUCUUAUUCAAAAAAUAGAUUACGACCUCGAUGUUGAAUUAAUAACCUAAAUAGAGCAAGAUUUAAAUAAGGAAGUCUGUUCGACUUUUAAAAAAUUACAUGAUUUGAGUUCAGACCGGUAUAAGCCAGGUCGGCUUCUAUCUUUUAAAUAGUUUCUUAUAGUACGAAAGGACCUACUAAUAAAAUUUUAUUUAAAUUAUUUGGCAGAAAAAUGCAUUAGAUUUAGAAUCUAAAAACCUAAUAA
rnacentral:rRNA from 1 species